GCAAGUCGAGGGGUAACAGGAAAGCUUGCUUUUUUGCUGACGACCGGCGCACGGGUGCGUAACGCGUAUAGAACCUACCUUUUACAGAGGAAUAGCCUUUAGAAAUGAAGAUUAAUACCUCAUGGCACUAAGAUUUGGCAUCAUAACUUAGUUAAAGAUUUAUCGGUAAAAGAUGGCUAUGCGUCCUAUUAGCUAGAUGGUAAGGUAACGGCUUACCAUGGCAACGAUAGGUAGGGGUCCUGAGAGGGAGAUC
rnacentral:rRNA from 1 species